GGAGCAGGGAGAGAAGGAAAUUCUGUCACCGCCGUUAAUACGCACGUGGAGCUGGUGUGAGAGUGGACUGGCUUUAAGGAAAAGCUGUUUGCUUGCAAAUGCAGGCCCGUGGUGACAAAAGAAAGAGCAACGGAAUGGAUAGCGCACAGUGCACACACAGCCUCACCGCUCCUGCUCUGAACAGCGACCCUGGGUGUGUCCUUCGAGGGAAAAAGAGAAAUGCCAAAUCUCAGAACUGGAGAAGCAUAAGGCCACUAAAUGAUGACCUCAGAAAAGAUGCAGUCGCCAUGAAAUGAAUGAAAACAGCUCAAUUUGGAGAAAAAGGUUUCUCCUAUUCAGACUGGCAAAGAUGGAAAAAUAAAAUACAAUGCUUACUGUCGGUGAGACAGCAGGGAA